rnacentral:piRNA from 1 species
UAAUGUGCAAUAUCGUGUUCAAAUGUUCCC